UAUGCACAUACACUUGUAGAAUAAGGUUUUACUGGGUUAUCAAACCCACGGUGUUAAAAGACGUCAAAUAAAAUUUAUGAUUAUUACAUGACAGAAAUAUCAGGAGGGUAGAGCAUGCAGUCAGGCAGCCAGUAAGAGCAGAAGACACCGAACUUCAGUUUCUCAGUGCCCAUGAGAAAGACUAAUUUUUGUUCGUCAUAAUUUCUUCCCAUGCAGGAAUUUUUCCCAUCAGAUCAGAUCGAACCGUUAGGAUAAUCUAAUGUCAAAUCCCCAGCCCCAGGAGAUAUGGUUUUAACUUUCUCUUAAAGUAAGUCAAUGGUCUUUAUAUUUCCCAACUGGUACCUACAUACCUCUAAGAAAGCAUAUAGAAAGUCUAAUUGCAGUUUCAUAUACCUUUGAAUUGUAGGGUGGCCAUUAUAAGGUUUUGCACGUUGAAAGAAAUCUUCCCUUUGAGCUUGGCAGAAGUAAUAGCCCUCAAAUAGCUCCUGAAGAAUAACAGAAGGCAUGAACAAAGACCAAUGCCAUUCCAAGAUAAUAA